GACGAACGCUGGCGGCGUGCCUAAUACAUGCAAGUAGAACGCUGAAGGAGGAGCUUGCUCUUCUGGAUGAGUUGCGAACGGGUGAGUAACGCGUAGGUAACCUGCCUGGUAGCGGGGGAUAACUAUUGGAAACGAUAGCUAAUAACGCAUAACAGUAGAUGUUGCAUGACAUUUACUUAAAAGGUGCAAUUGCAUCACUACCAGAUGGACCCGCGUUGUAUUAGCCAGUUGGUGGUGUAACGGCUCACCAAGGCGACGAUACAUAGCCGACCUGAGAGGGGGAGCGGCCACACUGGGACGGAGACACGGCCCAGACUCCUACGGGAGGCAGAAGGAGGGAAUCUUCGGCAAUGGACGGAAGUCUGACCGAGCAACGCCGCGUGAGUGAAUAAGGUUUUCGGAUCGUAAAGCUCUGUUGUAAGAGAAGAACGAGUGUGAGAGUGGAAAGUUCACACUGUGACGGUAUCUUACCAGAAAGGGACGGCUAACUACGUG
rnacentral:rRNA from 1 species